UAAGGAAUAUUGGUCAAUGGACGAAAGUCUGAACCAGCCAUGCCGCGUGAGGGAUGAAGGUUCUCUGAAUUGUAAACCUCUUUUAUUUGGGAAUAAACGUUCCGUUUCUACGGAAUUUGAAGGUACCAGAUGAAUAAGCACCGGCUAACUCCGUGCCAGCAGCCGCGGUAAUACGGAGGGUGCAAGCGUUAUCCGGAUUUACUGGGUUUAAAGGGUGCGUAGGUUGAUUGGUAAGUUAGUGGUGAAAUACUACAGCGCAACUGUGGAACUGCCAUUAAUACUAUCAAUCUUGAAUGCAGUGGAGGCGGGCGGAAUGUGUCAUGUAGCGGUGAAAUGCUUAGAUAUGACACAGAACACCAAUUGCGAAGGCAGCUUGCUACACUGUGAUUGACACUGAGGCACGAAAGCGUGGGGAUCAAACAGGAUUAGAUACCCCGGUAGUCC
rnacentral:rRNA from 1 species